rnacentral:rRNA from 1 species
ACUAACAAGGAUUCCCCUAGUAACUGCGAGUGAAGCGGGAAAAGCUCAAAUUUAAAAUCUGGCGGUCUUUGGCCGUCCGAGUUGUAAUCUAGAGAAGUAAUGCCCGUGCUGGACCGUGUAUAAGUCUCCUGGGAUGGGGCGUCAUAGAGGGUGAGAAUCCCGUCUUUGACACGGACUACCAGUGCAUUGUGGUAUGCUCUCAAAGAGUCGAGUUGUUUGGGAAUGCAGCUCAAAAUGGGUGGUAAAUUCCAUCUAAAGCUAAAUAUUGGCGAGAGACCGAUAGCGAACAAGUACCGUGAGGGAAAGAUGAAAAGAACUUUGGAAAGAGAGUUAAACAGUACGUGAAAUUGCUGAAAGGGAAACGCUUGAAGUCAGUCGCGUUGGCCGGGAAUCAGCCUUGCUUUUGCAUGGUGUACUUUCUGGUUGACGGGUCAGCAUCAAUUUUGACUGCUGGAAAAGGGCCUGGGGAAUGUGGCAGCUUCGGCUGUGUUAUAGCCCCUGGUCACAUACAGUGGUUGGGAUUGAGGAACUCAGCACGCCGCAAGGCCGGGUUUCGACCACGUUCGUGCUUAGGAUGCUGGCAUAAUGGCUUUAAGCGACCCGUCUUGAAACACGGACCAAGGAGUCUAACAUGCCUGCGAGUAUUUGGGUGGAAAACCCGAGUGCGCAAUGAAAGUGAAAGUUGAGAUCCCUGUCGUGGGGAGCAUCGACGCCCGGACCAGAACUUUUGGGACGGAUCCGCGGUGGAGCAUGUAUGUUGGGACCCGAAAGAUGGUGAACUAUGCCUGAAUAGGGUGAAGCCAGAGGAAACUCUGGUGGAGGCUCGUAGCGAUUCUGACGUGCAAAUCGAUCGUCAAAUUUGGGUAUAGG